rnacentral:sRNA from 1 species
AUGAGAACCACCUCCAUGUGGGACAAUUUCACACCCCAACAGUGACAGUCUACAAGUAUCUACAAUAAAUCUUCAACGUAAAGAUUUAUGUCAGCCGUCAUUCAACAGCAUUUGUAUAUAAUUAAGACAUUUAUUUUGUCUUCGAUCUGAAUCAUUGGGAAUGUUGUAUCAACGUGCGUGUAGUAAAAUGCAUUUGCUAUAACACUAAAUAAACUGAAAACAAG